CCUACGGGGUGCAGCAGUGAGGAAUAUUGGUCAAUGGGCGGGAGCCUGAACCAGCCAAGUCGCGUGAGGGAAGACGGUCCUAUGGAUUGUAAACCUCUUUAGGCGGGGAGCAAUGCCGGGCACGCGUGCCCGGAGGGAGAGUACCCGCAGAAUAAGCAUCGGCUAACUCCGUGCCAGCAGCCGCGGUAAUACGGAGGAUGCGAGCGUUAUCCGGAUUUAUUGGGUUUAAAGGGUGCGUAGGCGGAUUUUUAAGUCAGCGGUAAAAUGUCCGGGCUCAACCCGGGCCGGCCGUUGAAACUGGGGAGCUUGAGUGGGCGAGAAGUAUGCGGAAUGCGUGGGGUAGCGGUGAAAUGCAUAGAUAUCACGCAGAACUCCGAUUGCGAAGGCAGCAUACCGGCGCCCGACUGACGCUGAGGCACGAAAGCGUGGGGAUCGAACAGGAUUAGAUACCCGGGUAGUC
rnacentral:rRNA from 1 species